ensembl:lncRNA
UGCACACACAUCUUCUCGCUGUGGGAUGAACAAACAUUAGCCAUUUUCUUGUCCUUCGGUUCCCUAGAGCAGCAGCGUCUGCCAGAAGUCGUGUGAGUAGGAAAGAGAUGACCUGCUCUAACUUCUAAGCCACAGCCACCUCAAAGCCACAGGAGGUGGAAAUGUCUCCAAAAUAUCCGUCCAACUCCAAGAAGAGCUUUGUCAAUCUAGUGGUGACCAAAAAAAGAGAGGCCAAGACACCUCAGCUUGGACCAGGAAAUGGUAGUGGAUGGAUUGAUGACUGGAUGAAUGGAUGGAUUGAUGCAAAAAGGAAAAACCAGGGUGAGAAACUAGGAGGGAACACAGCCCACCACCUGUCAGUGAUAUCGGAAUCAACAGGUGAACCCUCCACCCCCACACAUCUCAUCAGGAGGAAGGCUGGUGGGAGCAGGGAGCUGUCUAGAGAGAGACGAGAACUCAACACUCCACCCUGUCAUCUAAUGGAGCUUCCUGUUUCCUGUUUGGAUGUCACCUUUGAUCAUACCAGGCUCUGGUUGCCUAGGCCUCAGCGUCUUCUGAUUGGCUUCCUGUUGUUGGAGACUUUGACAAUGGGUGGGUGGAGCUUCUGAGCCUGAGAUCACCAUAUUAGGCGAUCCCCUCCUCUACAUGACCUCAUAAAGAUCCAAGAGUAGAAAAAACAGAGCAUCUGGGACAGCAAGAGCCUCAUGGGGCUUAUUUUAAACGUCAGCUUCUGCAUGAACUCUGCUUCCUCAUCUCAUGGAGUUUGUAGAUGUUGAAACCGGUGCAAAGAAAACUGUGAAAGGACCUCAUCUGCCACCAUGCUCCAUUGCAGACCAAUAAGACGGGGGUGCAGGAAGGUGAGGGGGUUUUGUGGUGGGGACGGAGUCAGGAGAGCGUGACUCGGCUGCAGGAAAGCUCUGCUUGUGAAAGAGGAGAUGGAGGAGCUUGCUGAAAGGCCUUUAGCUGCUGAUCCCAUCCUGUUGUGUGUGUGUGUGUAUAUAUAUGUGUGUGCGUGUGGUGGUCUAUCCAGCAGCUGCACCCUCUCCAGACACCUGUAGGACUUAACAUGCCUGCUUGUCCUUCCUAAAGCACGUUCCACUGCUCUUAACCUCUUAACAUCCACAAGGUCACCAGUGAACCAUACAGUUUGCUUUUGAUUAAGUCACAUGGUAAAAAGGUAAAUACUCA